AUGGCUGGGGGCCUCUUCGACAUGUCUCACCCGGCGAGCGCCCUCGCCGGCAUCGCAGGAAACAUCGUCUCCUUCUUCGUGUUCCUCGCGCCAAUGGCGACGUUCCUGCAGAUCUACAGGAAGAAGACGACGGGCGGGUUCAGCUCGGUGCCGUACGUGGUGGCGCUCUUCAGCUGCUCGCUGCUCAUCUUCUACGCGCUGCUCAAGACGAAGUCCCCCCUCCUGCUCACCAUCAACAGCUUCGGCUGCUGCAUCGAGACCGUCUACAUCAUCGCCUACCUCGUCUACGCGCCGCCCCGCGCCAGGCUCAGGACGCUCGCCUACUUCUUCGUCCUCGACGUCGCCGCCUUCGGCCUCGUCCUCGUCGUCACCAUGUACGCCUUCGCGCCGGCCCACCGCGUCAAGUUCCUCGGCAGCGUCUGCCUCGCCUUCUCCAUGGCCGUCUUCGUCGCGCCGCUCUCCAUCAUCGUCAAGGUGAUCAAGACCAAGAGCGUGGAGUUCCUGCCCGUCGGCCUCUCCUUCUGCCUCGUCCUCAGCGCCGUCGCGUGGUUCUGCUACGGCCUCUUCACCAAGGACCCAUUCGUCAUGUACCCAAACGUGGGCGGCUUCUUCUUCAGCUGCGUCCAGAUCGGGCUCUACUGCUGGUACCGCAAGCCCAGCAACGCCGUGCUGCCCACUACCACCGCCGACGCCGGCAACGGCAAUGGCGGCGCCGCGGAGCAGCCGCAGGUGCAGGUGAUCGAGCUGCCCGCGCACUCCGUCGCCAUCCUGUCCGUGGGCCCCGUCCCGAUCCUCGGCGUGCACAAGAUCGAGGUCAUGGCGGCAGAGCAGCAGACCGUCAUCGACGUCAAGGACGCCGCCGAGGCCGACCAGCCGGAGGUCAUCGAGAUCGUCCCCGCCCCCGCCGUGUGA
rnacentral:rRNA from 1 species